GCUCAAAUUUGUAAUCUGGCGUCUUCGGCGUCCGAGUUGUAUUCUCGAGAAGUGUUUUCCGCGCUGGACUGCACACAAGUCUGUUGGAACACAGCGUCAUAGCGGUGAGAACCCGGUUCACGGUGCAGACGCCCAGUGCUUUGUGAUACACUUUCGAAGAGUCGAGUUGUUUGGGAAUGCAGCUCAAAUUGGGUGGUAAAUUCCAUCUAAAGCUAAAUAUUGGCGAGAGACCGAUAGCGAACAAGUACCGUGAGGGAAAGAUGAAAAGCACUUUGGAAAGAGAGUUAAAAGUACGUGAAAUUGUUGAGAGGGAAGCGCUUGAAGUCAGACUUGCUUUGCGGGAUUCAGCCUUCGGGUGUAUUUUCCGUUUGGCAGGCCAGCGUCAGUUUUCGGGGGCAGAAAAGGGUAGGAGGAACGUAGCAACCUCGGUUGUGUUAUAGCCUCUUACUGGAUCUGUCCUUGGGGAUUGAGGAUCGCAGCACGCUUCUAGCGAGGCCCUCGGGCCUUUCGUGCUUAGGAUGCUGGUGGAAUGGCUUUAAACGACCCGUCUUGA
rnacentral:rRNA from 1 species